CAGGGAAGCAGAGCAAAGCAGUUUUCUUACACCUGGGAAAGCCUAUAAAAGGCUGAUGUCUCAUCUCCAUCGGGUCUUCAAUCUUGCUUCUUAUCCCUGGAGGGACUUUGCUACAAGCUGAAGGUCUGAACAAAGGACUGAUGACCUA